rnacentral:rRNA from 1 species
AACUGCGACCCCAGGUCAGGCGGGACUACCCGCUGAGUUUAAG